CUGUGACGAGAAUACAGAUAGUUUCAUUCCUAAGCCGGCUGAGUGGUCAGCUUUCCGUAGCAGUGACUAUGGCUAUGCUCGUCUCAAGGUCCAUAACGCCUCACAUCUUCAUCUCGAACAAGUGUCUGACGAUAAGGAUGGCCAAGUUAUCGACCAGAUAUGGCUGAUCAAAGACUCGCACGGUCCAUACAGUUUGGUGUAAUUCUCGAAUGAGGCCAUUUUGGAUUUGAAAAAAUAAUCAAAUUAGAAUGAAAUUCUGAAUGAAUUGUAAGAACAGUGUCGAUAUAUUGAUUGACUCUAUCACUGAAUGGUAAAUACUUCUAUUUCCUUCCCCUUUUCAAAACGACUUGUCAAAGCAAUAAGUGGUUUAUAAAUAAUGAAUCAAUAAAUGUGAUAAACCGGGGAUAAAUUAAUUAACCGGUAAUAAAAGUGAUUAAAUAAAACUGUAUUUUGUAUUAAAUAAAAUACAAUUUCUGUAAAUUUGUAUUAAAUAAUUCUGUAACUGUUGUUCUAUGUACUUCAUUGUUUCAAAAAUUCAAAUGAAAAUUAUGAGACUAACUCAACUUGGUGUAAAUAUUUGUGAAUAAAUCCCAAUAUCGUAAAAUUUCCUACCAAUUGCAUCAUUUUAGAAUUUUUCAACAACACAUUUUAAAAUUUGAUCUUUUGAAUACUAAUAAAAAUUAAGCCACCGUCUAGUCAAUUUUGCCAAUCAAUCAAGUAUAAAUAAUGAUGAAAUUCUGUGAAAAAUAUGUAAGAAGGUUCUGUAAUGAAUGUUGAUUAUAUGUGUAUAAAAUGGUAUAUUUUAUUUUAUCAGUAUCCAUCAUUUUUGUAUUUUUAUUAUUCAUCAUUAUUGUUUGUGGUGUUGGUAAGCACCCAUGUAGUUAGUACAGUACCGUACUUACUCUUGUCUAAUCAUGAGUAAUUUAAUCAAAGUAUUUGGUACUUCCAAAUGAAUUAUCUUAAACUACUGUAUUUUAAGUGUAACUUUUAUCUAUUUAUGAGUAUUGGAACCCAAGAUAAUACAAAAUAUUCUCAUAGAAGCUGAGGAUAAUCAGCUAUUGCUGAUUAAUAAGUUAUAAAUGAGUUCUUCUUUCAUGGAAGAAUGCUAGAAUCACAAGAAUUCAUAAAAUUUCAUCCAAUAUUUUAAGGAAGAGACCGAUUUCUUAAAGUACAACUAUAGCCAUUUCAUGGAAUUGUUAUUAUACAACUCAAUAUUAGGAUUAAUUGUAUAUGGGAUGUAUAUUAUUAUUCUAAUAAAUUUGUUCUACAGUAUUUUAAUA